rnacentral:rRNA from 1 species
AUUGAACGCUGGCGGCAGGCCUAACACAUGCAAGUCGAGCGGAUGAAGGGAGCUUGCUCCUGGAUUCAGCGGCGGACGGGUGAGUAAUGCCUAGGAAUCUGCCUGGUAGUGGAGGAUAACGUCCGGAAACGGGCGCUAAUACCGCAUACGUCCUGAGGGAGAAAGUGGGGGAUCUUCGGACCUCACGCUAUCAGAUGAGCCUAGGUCGGAUGAGCUAGUUGGUGGGGUAAAGGCCUACCAAGGCGACGAUCCGUAACUGGUCUGAGAGGAUGAUCAGUCACACUGGAACUGAGACACGGUCCAGACUCCUACGGGAGGCAGCAGUGGGGAAUAUUGGACAAUGGGCGAAAGCCUGAUCCAGCCAUGCCGCGUGUGUGAAGAAGGUCUUCGGAUUGUAAAGCACUUUAAGUUGGGAGGAAGGGCAGUAAGUUAAUACCUUGCUGUUUUGACGUUACCAACAGAAUAAGCACCGGCUAACUUCGUG